CUUCGCGUUUGACAGGUGUAAGUGGGCGUGGCCUGUGGGGUUGACGAUAACGUGCUAACGGAAAAACAAACCAACUAACUAACUAACUAACCAACCAACCAGUAAGACGGACUGAAAAUAUCAUCUUCGCGGUGAAAGUACUCAAAACAAUCCAAACCAAAAUAACUAAAGAGCUUCAAGAACUGCCCAAGCGAUAUUUAAUCCAUUUCUCAUUAGUAUCCACCUGUUCCCAGCGGGAGAAAGAGUCCCAGGGCGACAGCUCCAUCCACGCGUCAGGGAGAAGGGCUGUCACAACGGAAACAUCCAGAACACAGGUGACAAGUUUCCCAUCUACCUUCCUGACGUGAACAAACGUCUGCAUCUGUCGGCUGAAUAACUGCUGAGGGAGGUUUUAUUCCCUUGAAACUUUAGCCUGUCAGAGGAGAAUGUGGAGCGGCGGAGCCAGGGCACAUCCUGUUGUCCUCGCGGCACUUCCUGCUCAUGUGGCUCAAUCAGUCUUCCUCGUUACCAUGGCCACUGGAAAACACUGUACUCAUGCUUAAUAGGGACACUAACAGGUAACGCUUGGAUGGUAAUGGAGCGAGUGAUAAGUGAAAAGAUCUGACAAGAGUUUUACAUUUAAAUUUAGCUGGCAUCAGUUUGCCAUUGGCUUCUUAUCUGUGUAAUUUCAAAAACCCAUCUACAGUAUAAGUAGGAUACAUAUUUGCAUGAUAAUUGCAGUCUUGGUAAAUGAGCAUCUGAGCUCCAGUAGAGGUUGAGGUUGGUUUUUAACCCCUUUACAUGCAGUCUCCCCCUUUUGUUUUCUUUUUUAGCAACUUAAGCUCGGGGAAAUCAUCUUAAAACUUUCUACUAUGUUCGAGCUCUUCAUUGAGACACCAUUCCGUCAAACAGAGGUAUUCUGUUAUGCACAUUUCCCCCAAAUUGUAUCCUCAAAUAUUUGGUGUGCUGUACACUAGAAUUUAAAAUUAAGUUUUGUAGAUUUUAACAAUCUUUGGCUGAGCAGCAUGCGUUUUCAUUUACAUACCCGCUGGCAUGUUAAUGGGGUUUCAAGGCAAAAACUGUCCACUUGUAAAUAAUAAUUGAUAAGUCAAUCACUCAGUUAUAUUGAAAGUAACCAGAACAGCCUCUCAUGCCCCAAUGAGGAAGACAAGGCGGCCAAAGAAGUUUGAGGCGUAAGCUUGGUAUUUGAUAAAAAGGUGUGCAUAUGGGCAGAUAUAAUGCCAUAAUAGUCAAUAGUCUUAAGCAUAUAAAUAUGUGUGGCUUGGCUGUGUAUACUGAACACUGCUAUAUA